GGGAUAUAAAAAUAAUGCAUUGUAUGCCGGAAGAGAUAAAUCUGGGACUGAGUACAAGCAAAACAAGACCAAAGGAAGCUACCUGAGCAGUCACUGGAGCCCUAAUGAUCGCAGCCAUUUCAGGAGAUGCCAUCAAUUACAGUGAGGAGCUCAUUCAGAAGUGAAAGAUGAGUUCCAUUCUCUGUUACUUAGAGGAACACAAUUAUUUCUGGAAAGAGUAUUACACUCAGUAUUCUGCAUUUCAUAUGGCAUUUCAAAGUCCUGAGAAUAACUCUCCAUAGUGUUCUAUGUACUAAUUAAACAUGAACAUGUGGUAAACAGCAUGGACUAUUCCAGUGGGCAGAAAACGUCAAGUUAAAAUGUUUAAGUACCCCAUAUUUUUCUAAGUAUUCUUAUCCAGUUGGUCUGACUGGUCAUUAUCUGUUUUGUAAAACUUCCCAAACAACUCAUCAAUACUUAAAUAG
rnacentral:lncRNA from 1 species